rnacentral:rRNA from 1 species
GAUGAACGCUAGCGACAGGCCUAACACAUGCAAGUCGAGGGGCAGCACAUGCGUAGCAAUACAAUGGUGGCGACCGGCGCACGGGUGAGUAACACGUCUGCAACCUACCUGUAAGAGGGGAAUAACCCGGAGAAAUUCGGACUAACACCGCAUAAUACCUCGAAGCUGCAUGGCUUUGAGGUUAAAUAUUUAUAGCUUACAGAUGGGCAUGCGUAACAUUAGAUAGUUGGUGAGGUAACGGCUCACCAAGUCAACGAUGUUUAGGGGUUCUGAGAGGAAGGUCCCCCACACUGGUACUGAGACACGGACCAGACUCCUACGGGAGGCAGCAGUGAGGAAUAUUGGUCAAUGGGCGAGAGCCUGAACCAGCCAAGUCGCGUGAAGGAAGAAGGUCCUAUGGAUUGUAAACUUCUUUUGUAAGGGAAUAAAAAAGCUUACGUGUAGGCUAUUGUAUGUACUUUACGAAUAAGGAUCGGCUAACUCCGUGCCAGCCGCCGCCGUAAAAC